GACGAACGCUGGCGGCAUGCCUAACACAUGCAAGUCGAGCGAGCAUAUCCCUUCGGGGUGAAGCUAGCGGCGGACGGGUGAGUAACACGUGGGCAACCUGCCUCAUAGAGGGGAAUAGCCUUCCGAAAGGAAGAUUGAUACCGCAUAAGAUUGUAGCUUCGCAUGAAGCAGCAAUUAAAGGAGCAAUCCGCUAUGAGAUGGGCCCGCGGCGCAUUAGCUAGUUGGUGAGGUAACGGCUCACCAAGGCGACGAUGCGUAGCCGACCUGAGAGGGUGAUCGGCCACAUUGGGACUGAGACACGGCCCAGACUCCUACGGGAGGCAGCAGUGGGGAAUAUUGCACAAUGGGGGAAACCCUGAUGCAGCAAUGCCGCGUGAGUGAUGACGGCCUUCGGGUUGUAAAGCUCUGUCUUCGGGGACGAUAAUGACGGUACCCGAGGAGGAAGCCACGGCUAACUACGUGCCAGCAGCCGCAGUAA
rnacentral:rRNA from 1 species